rnacentral:rRNA from 1 species
AUUGAACGCUGGCGGAAUGCUUUACACAUGCAAGUCGAACGGCAGCACGGACUUCGGUCUGGUGGCGAGUGGCGAACGGGUGAGUAAUGUAUCGGAACGUGCCCAGUCGUGGGGGAUAACGUAGUGAAAAUUACGCUAAUACCGCAUACGAUCUAUGGAUGACAGCGGGGGAUCGCAAGACUUCGCCGGAUUGGAGCGGCCGAUAUCAGAUUAGGUAGUUGGUGGGGUAAAGGCCCACCAAGCCAACGAUCUGUAGCUGGUCUGGGAGGACGCCCAGCCACACUGGAACUGAGACACGGUCCAGACUCCUACGGGAGGCAGCAGUGGGGAAUCUUGGACAAUGGGCGAAAGCCUGAUCCAGCCAUUCCGCGUGCAGGAUGAAGGCCCUCGGGUUGUAAACUGCUUUUGUACAGAGCGAAAAGGUUUCUACUAAUACUAGGAGCUCAUGACGGUACUGUAAGAAUAAGCACCGGCUAACUACGUGCCAGCCGCCGCCGUAA